GGCCGCGUGGCCUAAUGGUUAAGGCGCUGGUUUUCGGCACCAGAGACUUGUGUGUUCGAAUCACACCGUGGUCG
rnacentral:tRNA from 1 species